GACGAACGCUGGCGGCGUGCCUAAUACAUGCAAGUUGAGCGCUGAAGGUUGGUACUUGUACCAACUGGAUGAGCAGCGAACGGGUGAGUAACGCGUGGGGAAUCUGCCUUUGAGCGGGGGACAACAUUUGGAAACGAAUGCUAAUACCGCAUAAAAACUUUAAACACAAGUUUUAAGUUUGAAAGAUGCAAUUGCAUCACUCAAAGAUGAUCCCGCGUUGUAUUAGCUAGUUGGUGAGGUAAAGGCUCACCAAGGCGAUGAUACAUAGCCGACCUGAGAGGGUGAUCGGCCACAUUGGGACUGAGACACGGCCCAAAAUCCUACGGGAGGCAGCAGUAGGGAAUCUUUGGCAAUGGACGAAAGUCUUACCGAGCAACGCCGCGUGAGGGAAGAAGGUUUUCGGAUCGUAAAACUCUGUUGGUAGAGAAGAACGGUGGUGAGAGUGGAAAGCUCAUCAAGUGACGGUAACUACCCAGAAAGGGACAGCUAACUACGUG
rnacentral:rRNA from 1 species